AAACCAGCACCUCAAGUGGUCAGGAUGAUUAUUGGGCCUAAAGCAUCCGUAGCCGGCUUUGUAAGUUUUCGGUUAAAUCUGUACGCUUAACGUACAGGCUGCUGGGAAUACUGCAGAGCUAGGGAGUGGGAGAGGUAGACGGUACUCGGGAGGAAGUGGUAAAAUGCUUUGAUCUCUCGAUGACCACCUGUGGCGAAGGCGGUCUACCAGAACACGUUCGACGGUGAGGGAUGAAAGCUGGGGGAGCAAACCGGAUUAGAUACCCGAGUAGUCC
rnacentral:rRNA from 1 species